UGCAGCCACCACUGCAACAGCCACUGCCACCAUUGUGGCCACCACCACUACCACUGGAGUCGCUGCUGUCACUGGAAUCACUGCUGCAAUCACUUCUGUCAUCGCUGCUGCCAUCGCUGCUGCCAUCGCUGCCAUCACAACCACGGCAGCCACUGCUGCUGCCACCUCCCACCUUUGUCCCUUUCCCAACUCCUGCACUCCCAAACGUGUCCCUUUGGAGCUUUGUCUGUCCCUUCCCUGUGCCCAGGUGGAUGGAGCUGGUUUGAGGGGCUGCACUGCGCCCCCUCCCCGUGCAGGGCUUGGGGACAGGGACAGGGAGCACCUCGGGGGCUCCAGCCGGUGUCACCUGGGGUACUGUGCCCAUCCAUACAGUGCUGCUGUCCCACGGCAGUGCUGAGGCUGUCCUGGUGGUGGCCAAGGGUGGUGGCCUUGCCAUGGGGACAGAGUGGCCCACAGUGAUGCAGCAGCCUGGGGUGGUGGCUAUGCCAAAGGCACACGAUGUCCUGUGGCGACAAGGUGACCUGGGGCUGUGUCCCCACCACAAGGAUGCAGUAGCCAGGACCAGGGAUGUCCCCUGACCCUCUAGGUCCGGGCCAGCGCCAUCGCGCAGGACGCCGAUCAGAACUACGACUACGCCAGCAACAGCGUCAUCCUGCACCUGGACGCGGGGGACGAGGUCUUCAUCAAGCUGGACGGGGGCAAAGCCCACGGCGGCAACAACAACAAGUACAGCACCUUCUCCGGCUUCAUCAUCUACUCGGACUGAGCCCGGAACCGCGGCACCGCCCCCGGCAUCCCCCGCAGUGACCCCCCCGGCCCCACGGCAUCCCUGUGCCGUGUUUGGUUCCCUGCUGCCCCCCGGCUCCCCCCGCUCUUGCCCAGCCCCACGGAACCCCCCGCCACAGUCCAGCCCACGGAUUCCCCCGCUCCUCCCCGCGCUCCCGGCUGCCUUCGGUGCCCGGAACCCCCUUUUCCCGUGAGCUCACACCAAGGCUGCCAAUUGAGGGCUUGGGGCUGCAGAGGUUUGGGGGUGGCGAAAAGCUGCGGGUGCCCCCCGCGCUGCCCCACGGCACCCCCAUCCCUGGCUGUGGCCCCUUGUCCCGUCCCUUCUCUCUGCCCGCCGCGGGGCGAUGCCGGGGGUCUCGGGGGGUCCGGCUGUACAGACGCGCACGGCCCCGGGCCGGGGGGCUGUGCUGGGGCGGGGGGAGCCACCGUCCUGCCCCCCCCGCCGGGGUGACAACAUGGUAAAGCAGAGCUGUGAUCU